CAGAUUACCAGUAACACGUUUAUCUUGAUGGACCAGCUCCCGUGUUUUGGACCAGUUUCACUAUGACUGGACCAAGCUUGCAUUACUCCUUUUGGGGUCCUAAAGUCAAGUUCACAGACAAAUAAAGAGUGUUUUGAUAUCCUGUUUGCUGCUGAACAGGAGACUCGAGGCUGAAAUCAAAGCUGAUCCAGUUCAGGAGCUGAAUUGCUUUCUUCAUGUGGAUGGGCGGCACCUCCGGCUGCAGGAGGCAGCACAGCACAUCCCUCCCUGGCAGCAGAUGGUCUGGCCGGGUCCCUCACAGCUCUUUGGCCCUCUGUGAGUCCUUCUGCACUUCAGCCUCCUUUGCUCUGAGGCCUCCUGAAGUGAGACGUUUCUCGGUGACGAGGAGGCAGUGGUGGCUGCUGAUGGUGUCUUUAUAUCCACACACACCUUUCAGAGUGCCCUCCGGUGCCUUCGUGCAGUGAUUUCUGGACCAGUGCAUGCCAAGCAGUAUCUCUGAUCUAGAGUCCUACAUCUUGGGCAGCUUUGGGCAUGGGUACCUUUUCAACUCAGGACCUACAGGAAUGAGGCAACAACCAAGCAGUCUGAGAGGUGGCCACCUCAGCACUGGACCAGCUCUACUUAAUUCUACCCAUAGGAUGUCUGCCUGAGCCACACACGUAAGGAGGACCAAGCACAUGUAACAAAAUAAGCUUUCAAAUGUCACUCUUAGACUUAAGAAUCAAUCACCUACGCUGAGGAAAUCGUUCAGUAUUCGUACCUGUCAUGUGAGGAAGUAGGGCAGGCUGCUCUGUCAGACGGUGACUGAAACAGCAGUGUGUGCUGCCCUCAGUGACCCCACAGAACCGGCACGGAUGGGG
ensembl:lncRNA